GCCAGGUGCAGUGGCGCAUACCUGUAAUCCCAGCAUUUCAGGAGGCUGAGGCAGGAGGAUUGCAAAUUCAAAGCCAGCCUCAGCAUUUAGCAUGGCCCUUGGUAACUUAGUGAGACCCUGUCUUAA
rnacentral:sRNA from 1 species